AGUUUGAUCCUGGCUCAGGAUGAACGCUAGCUACAGGCUUAACACAUGCAAGUCGAGGGGAAACGAUAGAGAAAGCUUGCUUUUUCUAGGCGUCGACCGGCGCACGGGUGAGUAACGCGUAUCCAACCUGCCCAUCACUUGGGGAUAACCUUGCGAAAGUAAGACUAAUACCCAAUGACGUCUCUAGAAGACAUCUGAAGGAGAUUAAAGAUUUAUCGGUGAUGGAUGGGGAUGCGUCUGAUUAGCUUGUUGGCGGGGUAACGGCCCACCAAGGCGACGAUCAGUAGGGGUUCUGAGAGGAAGGUCCCCCACAUUGGAACUGAGACACGGUCCAAACUCCUACGGGAGGCAGCAGUGAGGAAUAUUGGUCAAUGGACGAGAGUCUGAACCAGCCAAGUAGCGUGCAGGAUGACGGCCCUAUGGGUUGUAAACUGCUUUUAUAAGGGAAUAAAGUGAGUCUCGUGAGACUUUUUGCAUGUACCUUAUGAAUAAGGACCGGCUAAUUCCGUGCCAGCAGCCGCGGUAAUACGGAAGGUCCGGGCGUUAUCCGGAUUUAUUGGGUUUAAAGGGAGCGUAGGCCGGAGAUUAAGCGUGUUGUGAAAUGUAGACGCUCAACGUCUGCACUGCAGCGCGAACUGGUUUCCUUGAGUACGCACAAAGUGGGCGGAAUUCGUGGUGUAGCGGUGAAAUGCUUAGAUAUCACGAAGAACUCCGAUUGCGAAGGCAGCUCACUGGAGCGCAACUGACGCUGAAGCUCGAAAGUGCGGGUAUCGAACAGGAUUAGAUACCCUGGUAGUCCGCACGGUAAACGAUGGAUGCCCGCUGUUGGUCUGAAUAGGUCAGCGGCCAAGCGAAAGCAUUAAGCAUCCCACCUGGGGAGUACGCCGGCAACGGUGAAACUCAAAGGAAUUGACG
rnacentral:rRNA from 1 species